UACGAGGGGUGCGAGCGUUAUUCGGAAUUAUUGGGCGUACAGGGCGCGUAGACGGCGUGUUAAGUCAACUGUUAAAUUCCCUGGCCUAACUGGGGACCAGCAGUAGAUACUGAUGUGCUAGAGGGUGGAAGAGAGAAGUGGAAUUCUCGGAGUAGCGGUAAAAUGCGUAGAUCUCGAGAGGAACACCGAUGGCGAAGGCAGCUUCUUGGUCCAUACCUGACGUUGAGGCGCGAAAGCGUGGGGAGCAAACAGG
rnacentral:rRNA from 1 species